rnacentral:rRNA from 1 species
AACGAACGCUGGCGGCAUGCCUAACACAUGCAAGUCGAACGAGACCUUCGGGUCUAGUGGCGCACGGGUGUGUGACGCGUGGGAACCUGCACUUAGGUUCGGAAUAACUCCCCGAAAGGGGUGCUAAUACCGGAUAAUGUCUUCGGACCAAAGCUUUAUCGCCUUUGGAUGGGCCCGCGUUGGAUUCGCUAGUUGGUAGGGUAAAAGCCUACCAAGGCGACGAUCCAUAGCUGGUCUGAGAGGAUGAUCAGCAACACUGGGGCUGGGACACGGCCCAGACUCCUACGGGAGGCAGCAGUGGGUAAUAUUGGACAAUGGGCGAAAGCCUGAUCCAGCAAUGCCGCGUGAGUGAUGAAGGCCUUAGGGUUGUAAAGCUCUUUUACCCGGGAUGAUAAUGACAGUACCGGGAGAAUAAGCUCCGGCUAACUCCGUG